AUAGCAGUCUUUCCUCCGUGCUCAGCUGGACACUACCACCGCCCGUUGCACCUGCCAGAACCCUCUACCUGGCCCCCCUCAACACACUCAUUAGUCCGUAACUCACCUGUACUGAAGCUAACCUGGCGUGCUGCACCUUGUCUCGCCUCGCCUCACCUGUGUAACCUAAUUCACCUGGAAGUGGUGUUGGUGGGGAAGUGAUGGAGGACAGGGACGAGAACGGGCGACUGAGACUGCCCCGCAAUGACCGUGUGCCCUUCCAACGAGUCCUCCACAGAACACACCGCAGCUCACGCAAGCUGUCGCCAGAGCAGACCGUUACAAGCAAGUUGGAUCGCCUCAGUCUGCGCUACCGUAAAGACAGGAGUGGUAGCCUCCCAGAAAAGAAGGUGAAUGGCAGAAACUCAGAAGAACGGGAAGGAGGAGGAAGAGGAGGAGCACACUAUGUACCCUUCCAGCGAGUGUUACAUCGGAGGCGAAAGACAUCAUUGCCACAGCCAUCACCACCACCCGAGCCACGGCGCUACAGAACCAGUGGGUUUGCACAUUCGCGGAUUUCCUCCCAAACUGCACAAAAGCGGCAGCAGCAGAAUUUUCGCGGUGUCACUCCAAACAUUUAUAGUCCCAGCGCAAACGAUUAGGCAUUUCCUAAAGCUGGACAUACACUAUCAAUCAUGACUGCACAAUCAUUGGUUUAGGCCACACACUAGUACUGAGACUGUGCAAUCCUCAGUUGUCAGAGCCAUGUCAAGUAAACACUUACAAGACAGCCACUUGAAUUGACAUCAUCCUUGCGCUCGAAGGCUGGGAACGAAAGAAAAGGAAAGAAAAGUUACGGGUUACACGGGGAUUGGUUAUGGGAUUACCCAAUAAUACCCUUCUUCCUUUCUAACACCAAGCCUUUGUUCCUCCUUAACACAUGCCCACAGGGACCGCCUAUCCUGGGACCACCACAGACCUGAAGCCCUUUACAUGGACUCCACUAGAACCAAUAAACACUAUGACGAACACAGGAACCGGAGACCACACACAAGGAAAAAUGACUCCAACCUCAACCAACUCCUUGGCAACCAGCGUGAGGAGGAGGACAGGAGAACAGCAUACAGCAGGAAUAGCUAUGCAGGAGAAAGAGGCAGUGUAGGAGUGGACUCUCCAGCAGCCGGUUCAGAUUCUUCUAUCACCUCUGUCAAGUUCCCACAGAUUCAGGGCUCGUCGCCACAUACGCCCCUUGUGAGUGCUAGGUCAGGCAGGGCAUCGGGAGUGACCUCGGCACUUAGCACUAAACUUGAGUCCCCAGAGUUAUAGCCCGUGUAAGUCUUUUUCUUAUCCCUUAAUUAUGUACAUGUUUGUCAUUGAAUUCAUAGCUUUAUAUGUCAUUGUAUUUAUUUUAGGUCUUUAUAUUUUUCUAUUCCCAGAUCCUCCUUUCAUAGCUUCUUAUACUGUAAAUUCUCUUCCCAGGCCUCAUUUCAUUUCAAUUCCUAGUUUCUUACUUCUAGAACUCUGUAGCUUCUUGUUUUAAAAGCUAUUCUUCAGCCAUUAGUUAUUUUCAACCCGGUAGCAGCGACGGGCCAAAUUUGUGGCUCUACCGUGUACCAGUGACAGGCCAAAUUUUUGCCAUGAUAUAAACCCCCAAAAAUAGAUGAUGCAUAAACUGAUCACAAAUGUGUUGAUAUAUAUUAUGAAAUGGUUUGCGUGAGUGAUGAUUUUUUUUCUCAUUUUUCUUGCUUGGAGGGGCCUUUAAGAAACAUGAUCCCCGCUGCUACUGGGUUAAUAUACUCCCAGUUGCUUAAUUGUUUCACCCUUUAUUUAUAGUUUACUGAGCCUGUAUUCUUAGGCACUUAACUCAUUUAUUUAACCCAUGUUUCUUAGGUUAGGUUAGGUUAAAGGCCCCGCUAAGUAAAAUAAUGAGAAAGAAUCAUCACUCACGCAAACCAUUUCAUGAUAUAUAUUAACACAUGUGUGAUCAGUUUAUGCAUCAUCUAUUUUGGGAGGUUUAUAUCAUGGCAGAAAUUUGGCCCAUCGCUGGUACACGGUAAAGGCACAAAUUUGGCCCGUCGCUGCUACCGGGUUAAUCUACUCCUCAGCCCUCAUCACAGCCACUUUUUCUUUACUCAUAAUCCUUCAACUCUUGGACUCUUCAUUACUGGCAUUUAAGUCACUCUCUCUCUCUCUCUCUCUCUUUCAGCCCAAAUCGUGAGGUCACCAACCCCCUCAAACCGUUCCCUCAAGUCCUCCAGUCACGCUAUGGCUCACAUUGAUAUAUUAUUAAUUCAAAGAUACAUAUCAGAAGUAAGAUAAUUGCUGUGGUGUGGGAAGGUGAAAGGGUGAUGGGGGGAGCAGAGGAGACAUAUGGGAUGAAGGGGUGAUGAGAGAAAAUGAGAUGGGAGAGGUUACUUAUAGGGUUGGGUGCUGAGUGAGGGUGUGAGGGGUGCAAGCAGUGGUGCCAAAUUGUCAUACUCUGAACACUGCAUUAACCAUUUUUUGGAUUCAAGAUUGUCGUAAGCACACAAAUAAUGAUAAAAAAUUAAAGUUAUCGUUAAAACGGUUAAAUACAGAUGGUUUUCGUUCUUUUUGCUAGUUAUAAUCGGUCAGAAACUACGAAAAUGCGAUGCGAUGUGUGCGAUAAUUUGGAAACGCUGGGUGCAAGAGAAUUGUGAAUGGAGCUGAAAAGGGUGAUGAAGCUAUGAGGAGGUGUACAUAGGGAGUGGAUGGUGAGAGGAGAGGGAGCUGUGAGUAAGGCUGAGAGGGCAGUGAGGGGGCAAUGCUCUCCCUGCAAGUUGUGGUGGUUGUCUUUAUCAUCCCCAGCCUUCACAGCAUAACAUAACGAUCCCUCGACCAGCUUUGCCAGUUUGCUGUACUCUGCCUCUUGUGUUUGCCGAUUUCCGACCCCCAAACUGCUCUCAUCACCCAAAUAACUGCCUUCAUAUAUGGUUAUCGUUUAAAUGGUCAAUUAUUGGCGCUUCUUGGCAAAUGGUAAAUACGCGGCUCUGAGUACGAUAAUCUGGCAACCGUGCCCUCAACCAGUCCCCUAACCUUAACUAACAACAAAUUUUUCCUCUGGUCCACCUUCACUAAAUGAGAACUGAAGAAGACAGAAGGAAAGUGAAAAGUAAUGAAAAAAAGCAAAGAGGUAGAAGAAAUGGGUAGAGGUAGAUUUUAAGUAAGGAAGGAUAAAACUUAAGAAUUCCUGUUAACCUAUAUAAUAAUCUUUUCAUAACAACAUUUGGGCAAACAUGGACCACAGCCUAAAAUCAUGUUGGUCUGUUCUGCCCUUUUAUAGCAGCAUCUCAUCAUAAAAUGAAUGUCUGAAUAUGAUUAGACUGUUAAACUUUAUACAUUUAAGAAUGUAACACUCCAGAUAAAGCUAAGAAAACU